rnacentral:misc_RNA from 1 species
GAUGAAGAACGCAGCGAAAUGCGAUAAGUAAUGAGAAUUGCAGAAUUCAGUGAAUCAUCGAAUCUUUGAACGCACAUUGCGCCCGCCAGUAUUCUGGCGGGCAUGCCUGUCUGAGCGUCAUUUCAACCCUCAUGCCCCUAGGGCGUGGUGUUGGGGAUCGGCCAAAGCCCGCGAGGGACGGCCGGCCCCUAAAUCUAGUGGCGGACCCGUCGUGGCCUCCUCUGCGAAGUAGUGAUAUUCCGCAUCGGAGAGCGAUGAGCCCCUGCCGUUAAACCCCCAACUUUCCAAGGUUGACCUCAGAUCAGGUAGGAAUACCCGCUGAACUUAAGCAUAUCAAUAAGCGGAGGA